rnacentral:rRNA from 1 species
GACGAACGCUGGCGGCGCGCCUAAUACAUGCAAGUAGAACGCUGAAGGAGGAGCUUGCUUCUCUGGAUGAGUUGCGAACGGGUGAGUAACGCGUAGGUAACCUGCCUGGUAGCGGGGGAUAACUAUUGGAAACGAUAGCUAAUACCGCAUAAUAGUAGAUGUUGCAUGACAUUUGCUUAAAAGGUGCAAUUGCAUCACUACCAGAUGGACCUGCGUUGUAUUAGCUAGUUGGUGAGGUAACGGCUCACCAAGGCAACGAUACAUAGCCGACCUGAGAGGGUGAGCGGCCACACUGGGACUGGGACACGGCCCAGACUCCUACGGGAGGCAGCAGUAGGGAAUCUUCGGCAAUGGACGGAAGUCUGACCGAGCAACGCCGCGGGAGUGAAGAAGGUUUUCGGAUCGUAAAGCUCUGUUGUAAGAGAAGAACGAGUGUGAGAGUGGAAAGUUCACACUGUGACGGUAUCUUACCAGAAAGAGACGGCUAACUACGUG